AACAGAUUUACUUCGGUAAUGACGUUAGGAAAGCGAGCGGCGGAUGGGUGAGUAACACGUGGGGAACCUGCCCCAUAGUCUGGGAUACCACUUGGAAACAGGUGCUAAUACCGGAUAAGAAAGCAGAUCGCAUGAUCAGCUUUUAAAAGGCGGCGUAAGCUGUCGCUAUGGGAUGGCCCCGCGGUGCAUUAGCUAGUUGGUAAGGUAAAGGCUUACCAAGGCGAUGAUGCAUAGCCGAGUUGAGAGACUGAUCGGCCACAUUGGGACUGAGACACGGCCCAAACUCCUACGGGAGGCAGCAGUAGGGAAUCUUCCACAAUGGACGCAAGUCUGAUGGAGCAACGCCGCGUGAGUGAAGAAGGUUUUCGGAUCGUAAAGCUCUGUCAGUGGUGAA
rnacentral:rRNA from 1 species